rnacentral:rRNA from 1 species
GACGAACGCUGGCGGCGUGCUUAACACAUGCAAGUCGAACGGUAAGGCCCUUCGGGGUACACGAGUGGCGAACGGGUGAGUAACACGUGGGUGAUCUGCCCUGCACUUCGGGAUAAGCCUGGGAAACUGGGUCUAAUACCGGAUAGGACCACUGCCUGCAUGGGUGGUGGUGGAAAGCUUUUGCGGUGUGGGAUGGGCCCGCGGCCUAUCAGCUUGUUGGUGGGGUGAUGGCCUACCAAGGGGACGACGGGUAGCCGGCCUGAGAGGGUGACCGGCCAAACUGGGACUGAGAUACGGCCCAGACUCCUACGGGAGGCAGCAGUGGGGAAUAUUGCACAAUGGGCGCAAGCCUGAUGCAGCGACGCCGGGUGAGGGAUGACGGCCUUCGGGUUGUAAACCUCUUUCAGCACCGACGAAGCGCAAGUGACGGUAGGUGCAGAAGAAGGACCGGCCAACUACGUGCCAGCAGCCGCGGUAA